UUGAAACUAAUACUAUCUCUCAUCAUCAUUCUUUUCUCAUAAUUCUCCCUUAGAUUCUGUUUAAACGCUCUCUUUCUCUUGUUCCUUUACAGAUCAUCGUCUUACAUCCAUGGCUGAGGAGACUCAAAAGCCGGAAGCAGCAGCAGCAGCGGCGGCGGCGGCGCCAGCUGAGGAAGUGGUGGUUGAGAAGCCCGAAGUUACAGAGAAAGAGCCACCACCGCCUGCUCCCGAGCCAGAGCCUGAGGCACCCGAAAAGCCGGCAGCUGCUGUAGUUAAAGAGAAAGAAGCUGAGGUUGAAUCUGUUGAAGUUCAGAAGCCUAAGGUUGAAGAAAAGGAAACUAAGAUUACUCAGUCGGUUUCUUUCAAAGAAGA
rnacentral:lncRNA from 1 species